rnacentral:rRNA from 1 species
GACGUAGGGUCCGAGCGUUGUCCGGAGUUACUGGGCGUAAAGGGCGCGUAGGCGGUCUUCUGCGUCACACGUGAAAGCCCCUGGCUCAACCAGGGAGGGUCGUGUGAAACGGGGGGGACUGGAGGCAGCGAGAGGCUGGUGGAAUUCCCGGAGUAGUGGUGAAAUGCGUAGAGAUCGGGAGGAACACCGGUGGCGAAGGCGGGUCUCUGGGCAGUAACUGACGCUGAGGAGCGAAAAGCGUGGGGGAGCGAACAGG